CAAAGCCUACAAGAAAUCUAUUCUCAAUAGGUCUCCUUAAAUCUAAUCUUAAGUCACGGUGAAGUGCUUAAUAUUCUAUGAUUCACUUAGCCGGGUUUUCAAAAUUUAAUGAAUAAAUAAUUGAAAACAUUUUUCUUGAGUUAAGAACACCAACAAUAUUCUUACUCAUCUUUCUUUAAUAAUUGGAAUUAUAAUUAAAACCAAUUAAAUACUUUUAUUGCAAAAUAAAUGCAACUUCAUGUCAUGCUUAGCAUAUAAUAAGUAAUUUACUUAAAAUAUGCACAUAAUAAUAAUAUGAUAUUAUUAUGAAAAUUAUCCUUUAAAUAAAUUAAUCAAACUAGUAAUAGUUCAAUUAAUUAAAAAUAAGAAAGCCCAAUUUAAUUAAUUGAAGGCAAUCCAAAGUCUUUAAAAAUAAUUAAUCAAACUAAUUAAUAGUCUAAUUAAAUAAAAUAGGGAAGCCAUUUAUAUAGAUGAAAUAGAGCCCAUGCUUAAAUAAAUAAUAGUCCAUAUAAAUUUAAAAGAUGAGGCCCAACUCAAUAAAAUAGGAAUGGCCCAAACUGAAUAAAAUGAAUCGGGCCCAGCUAAAUAAAAUUAAAAAAAAUCGGCCCAAGCUUUUAAAAAAAAAUCGCAGCCCAAAACUAUUUAAAAAUAGGCCCAAAACUCGGCCCAAGUCCCUCAAGCCCAAACCUCUAAGCCCAACCCAAGCCCAACAACCCCAAACUAAGCCCUAGCCCAACACUCCCAUUUAUCCUCCCCCUCUUUUAAUCUCACACACACACAUCUGAAACACACGCACACACUCACACAUCGGCGCACGCACACACCAGAGAUUGGUGCGGUGCCGCCCUCUUCUCCGGCGAAGAGUUAUCGCCGGCCACCCAUCUCACUCGACCUAACCAAAUCGUGCCGCCACGAUUCCUCUCUGGAACCCCGGCGAGUCAGCAGCGAGAAGCUACUGCCGGUCCGCCCCUCUCCCUCGAAUCUCCGGCCUCUCUCUCUCUCCAGCCGUGGCCGGGCAGCAGCGGCCGCGCCCUCCUUUUCCGGAUCCGGCGCCACCACUGCCCUGCCUCUCUUUCUCCUUUGGCCGACAGCAGCAGCCGUGGUGCUUCUGCCGCCGCGUCGCCACCGGAAAUAGAACAGGGACUGAGCGCCGCCUGCCGCCGCGCCGUUGCCGGCCGUGAGCAGCCGCCUCCUGUUCCUACCCGACACCUACAAUGACCAGCCGCCCCCAUCAAACUCCCAGCGACAAACGACGAGGUUGCUGCCGACAGCAACAACCAGCCGCACCGCCGUGGAAGCUCGCCGGGGAGCAGCGACAGCCGCUGACGACACUCGGUUCUCCCUCCUCAGAUCGACGGCAGCAAGGCCGCCGGCCGUCACCCCUCUUCGGUCUCCAGCGAGCAAAACAGACGGCCACCACCGCCGUCCGCCGACUCCUUCUCCACUCUUCACCGUGGCUAGGCAGCAACGGCAGAGCCGCAGCGCCUAGCCUCCCUCUCGACUCCAUUUUUCAAAAAUACAUCAAAAUUGGCAUGCUUCAUAUAUGUAUCUAUAUGCACAUAAAUUGUAUGUCUGAACACUUGGUGAUUUUAAGAAAUUGUUGUUCUUUAUGAAUGUGUAUACAUAUGCACCGAAAUGAUGAGAUGAAAGUAUGUGAA